UACGGGGGGGGCAAGCGUUGUUCGGAAUUACUGGGCGUAAAGGGCUCGUAGGCGGCCAACUAAGUCAGACGUGAAAUCCCUCGGCUUAACCGGGGAACUGCAUCUGAUACUGGAUGGCUUGAGUUCGGGAGAGGGAUGCGGAAUUCCAGGUGUAGCGGUGAAAUGCGUAGAUAUCUGGAGGAACACCGGUGGCGAAGGCGGCAUCCUGGACCGACACUGACGCCGAGGAGCGAAAGCCAGGGGAGCAAACGGG
rnacentral:rRNA from 1 species